rnacentral:lncRNA from 1 species
AUUACCAUGGUGAUUAUAAUGCGAUACAAAUGUAUCAAAUCAAUAUGUUGUAUAUGCCUUAAACUUACAAAAUGUUGUAUGUCAAAUAUAUCUCAGUAAGAAAAAAAAUCUAAUGAAAAAUAUUUUCUCUUAGUCUCUCUCUUUUUUUCUCCUCCAGCUUAUUGACAUCAUCUUGGUCCCAUGAGAGCCAUCUCCCAUUAUGGGUUUCAUCUCCAGGUUCUGUUAGAUUUUAGGACUCCUGAGUCUUGUGUACAGACCUUCAAGAUCUCCCUCACCUCCUGGUAUGCCAUGAAGCGUUGGACCAAAGCCCAAAAUAAGAAGAUGAGGGUCAGAAAGGACUAGGUAAGAGGAGCUCUUUCUAGCUCAUGUGCCACUACAGACUUUGGCAGGAGAGCCUUCCUCUGAAUUCUUUAUGAGAGUCAUCUUUCCCUCCCCUGAAUACCCACAGUCCUUUUCCAACCCUCUCCUUUGAAUAUGUUUACUCAGUAUUUAUUAAUUACCUGCCUGGGGCCAGACAUACUCUUAUGGCUUCCACCACUUCCCCACCAUUAGUUAUUUGAGUAAAAGGAUGGAGAAAAUUUUAUUCCCCCUAUUUCCAGGAUCCCAAGGAAGGAAGACCAAUCUAGGGGAUGUGCUCACUGUGAGAGAAGCAAGGUGGGCUUACAUUUUGCAGAGAAACCUAUGAGAUGAGACAGGUCAUUGUUUGGCGAGCUUGGACUUUGGGAGCUGGUGGACAAUGCGUUGAGGGUCACCAAAGUGGC